AGUGAACGCUGGCGGUAGGCCUAACACAUGCAAGUCGAACGGCAGCACAGUAAGAGCUUGCUCUUACGGGUGGCGAGUGGCGGACGGGUGAGGAAUACAUCGGAAUCUACUUUUUCGUGGGGGAUAACGUAGGGAAACUUACGCUAAUACCGCAUACGACCUACGGGUGAAAGCAGGGGAUCUUCGGACCUUGCGCGAUUGAAUGAGCCGAUGUCGGAUUAGCUAGUUGGCGGGGUAAAGGCCCACCAAGGCGACGAUCCGUAGCUGGUCUGAGAGGAUGAUCAGCCACACUGGAACUGAGACACGGUCCAGACGCCUACGGGAGGCAACAGUGGGGAAUAUUGGACAAUGGGCGCAAGCCUGAUCCAGCCAUACCGCGUGGGUGAAGAAGGCCUUCGGGUUGUAAAGCCCUUUUGUUGGGAAAGAAAAGCAGCAGGUUAAUACCCCGCUGUUCGGACGGUACCCAAAGAAUAAGCACCGGCUAACUUCGU
rnacentral:rRNA from 1 species